rnacentral:rRNA from 1 species
GACGAACGCUGGCGGCGUGCUUAACACAUGCAAGUCGAACGGAAAGGCCCUGCUUUUGUGGGGUGCUCGAGUGGCGAACGGGUGAGUAACACGUGAGUAACCUGCCCUUGACUUUGGGAUAACUUCAGGAAACUGGGGCUAAUACCGGAUAGGAGCUCCUGCUGCAUGGUGGGGGUUGGAAAGUUUCGGCGGUUGGGGAUGGACUCGCGGCUUAUCAGCUUGUUGGUGGGGUAGUGGCUUACCAAGGCUUUGACGGUUAGCCGGCCUGAGAGGGUGACCGGCCACAUUGGGACUGAGAUACGGCCCAGACUCCUACGGGAGGCAGCAGUGGGGAAUAUUGCACAAUGGGCGGAAGCCUGAUGCAGCAACGCCGCGUGCGGGAUGACGGCCUUCGGGUUGUAAACCGCUUUCGCCUGUGACGAAGCGUGAGUGACGGUAAUGGGUAAAGAAGCACCGGCUAACUACGUC